CUCAACACGGCGAUCCACUUCAGGCUUCUGCGUCUUCUUAGGCGACAAUCUUCUCUCCUGGUCUGCAAAGCGUCAACAGACAGUGUCAAGAUCGAGUGCUGAAGCCGAAUACAAGGGUGUCGCAAACGCAGUCGCAGAGACUUGCUGGCUACGCAAUCUUCUUCUCGAGAUGCACUGCCCUCUACAGCGAGCCACCAUAGUCUACUGUGACAAUAUCAGUGCCGUUUAUCUCAGCUCAAACCCUGUUCAACAUCAACGCACCAAACACAUUGAAAUAGAUAUACAUUUUGUGAGAGAAAAGGUGCAGAUGGGGCAGGUACGAGUAUUACACAUACCGGCUUCUUCACAGUAUGCAGACAUUUUCACCAAAGGACUUCCUUCUUCCCUGUUCAUCAGCUUCAGGUCCAGUCUUGGCGUCUCAAAGCUCGACGCUGCGACUGAGGGAGGGUGUUAGUCAACAAGAAUAUUCCAUUCUUGUUAUGAUAUCGUUACCUAUAUACUUGGGCAUAUCCCUACUCUCUUGUAACGAUCUCCUCAAUAUAUACUUGUGUAAUCAUGUAAAUGAAUUCAAGGGAAACACUUCCACUUUCAA
rnacentral:lncRNA from 1 species